rnacentral:lncRNA from 1 species
CCAAAAUUAGAAUUUUAUUGGGAAAUACAACUUGAUAAAUAGAAUGCCUCACGAUUGCUUUCAGCCAUUAAAAAUAACGGAUUCUUAUGAAAGAGGGACGAAAGAUACCAGAGGGAAAGUCAAACUCAUAAAUCGAAUAUAAACUGACAACGCCAUGGCUAGAAAUGAAAAAAAAAACCAAACAGACAACCAAUAGUACACAUG